CAAUAGCGUAUAUUAAAGUUGUUGCAGUUAAAAAGCUCGUAGUUGGAUUUCUGGUGGGAGCGAUCGGUCUGGCGCUUAGCGCGAGUACUUGCAUCGUCUCCGGCCAUCCUUGGGGAGAGUCUGUCUGGCAUUAGGUUGUCGGGCAGAGGAUCCUCAUCGUUUACUGUGAAAAAAUUAGAGUGUUCAAAGCAGGCUUAUGCCGUUGAAUAUAUUAGCAUGGAAUAAUAAGAUAGGACUUUGGUACUAUUUUGUUGGUUUGCGCACCAAAGUAAUGAUUAAUAGGGACAGUUGGGGGUAUUCGUAUUCCGUUGUCAGAGGUGAAAUUCUUGGAUUUACGGAAGACGAACUACUGCGAAAGCGUUUACCAAGGAUGUUUUCAUUAA
rnacentral:rRNA from 1 species